rnacentral:tRNA from 1 species
AUCGUGAAUGGCGAGCUGGAUCGUGCUUCGACCUUGUGGGUCGAGGCGAAUCGGACGGACGGGUCUUGGUCGCUCAACGGUUC